rnacentral:rRNA from 1 species
UACGUAGGCAGCGAGCGUUGUUCGGAGUUACUGGGCGUAAAGGGUGUGUAGGCGGUUCUUUAAGUUUGGUGUGAAAUCUCCCGGCUCAACCGGGAGGGUGCGCCGAAUACUGAGGGACUAGAGUGCGGGAGAGGAAAGUGGAAUUCCUGGUGUAGCGGUGAAAUGCGUAGAUAUCAGGAGGAUCACCGGUGGUGUAGACGGCUUUCUGGACCGUAACUGACGCUGAGACACGAAAGCGUGGGUAGCAAACAGG